ensembl:rRNA 5S_rRNA 5S ribosomal RNA
AUCUAUGGCCUUACCACCCUAAUGUGCCUGAUCUUGUCUGAUCUCAGAAGCUAAGCAGGGUUGGGUCUGGUUAGUACAUGGAUGGGAGAAUGACUGUACCUCCUUGUGUUCUCACGAUAGUGCAAAGAAA